CUCCGGGUGGUCUAGUUGGUUAUGACAUUCGGCUGUAAUGGUUACAUCUCACCGAAAAGUCGGCGGUUCAAAUCCUCCCCUGGAGA
rnacentral:tRNA from 1 species